rnacentral:ncRNA from 1 species
UAUAAAUAAAUUUUUUAUGAUUUAUAAAAUUUAAUUUAAAUUUAUUUUACAUAUAAAUUUUAGUGUAUAUUUUUAAUUAUUUUAAUAAUUUUUAAAUAAUUAAUUAUAGUAAUUAGUAUUAAAAAUUUAAGAAAUUAAGAUUUAGUAAUAUUUUAAAGUUAUUAACAAAUUUUGUGCCAGCAGUUGCGGUUAAACAAAAAAUAAUUUAAAUUUUAUUAGUAAAUAAUAAAUAUAAUAAUAAAAAUUAAAUAAUAAAUUAUUAGGUGAAAUUUUAAUUUAUUUAAAAUUUUAUUAAAUAUUAUGGUUUAUUAAAUUUUAUAAAAAAACUAGAAUUAGAUACUCUAUUAUUAAAAAUUAAAUAAAAAAUACUAAAAUAGUAUAUAAUUAUUUAUAGAAACUUAAAUAAUUUGGCGGUAUUUUAGUUCAUUUAGAGGAAUCUGUUUAAUAAUUGAUAAUCCACGAAUAAAUUUACUUAACUUUUUUAUUUUAUAUAUCGUUGUUAAAAAAAUAUUUUUUAAUAAAAAUAAUAUUUAAAAAUUUUUAAAAUAAAUUAAUUCAGAUCAAGAUGUAGAUUAUAGUUAAGAAUAUAAUGGAUUACAAUAAGAAAUGAUUAAAUGAAUAAUAUUUUUUAAUAUAUAUUUGAAGGUGGAUUUAAAUGUAAUUUUAAUUAAUUUAUUAAAAUGAUUAAAAAUUGGAAUAUGUACAUAUUGCCCGUCGCUUUCAUUAAUAAGUUGAAAUAAGUCGUAACAAAGUAGAAGUACUGGAAAGUGUUUCUAGAAAGAAU